UACGGAGGGUGCGAGCGUUGUCCGGAAUCACUGGGCGUAAAGGGCGCGUAGGUGGCCCGUCAAGCGCGCGGUGAAAGCCCGGGGCUCAACCCCGGGUCGGCCGUGCGGACUGGCGGGCUCGAGCACUGUAGGGGCGGGUGGAAUUCCGGGUGUAGCGGUGGAAUGCGCAGAUAUCAGGAGGAACACCAAUGGCGAAGGCAGAUCUCUGGGCCGUAACUGACGCUGAGGAGCGAAAGCAUGGGGAGCGAACAGG
rnacentral:rRNA from 1 species